rnacentral:piRNA from 1 species
GCCUUUGGACACUCUUAGGGAAUGCUGC